AAAACUAGCCAGUCUUUUGGAUAUGAAACCCAUUUGGGCAAGAGUAGUACUAGGAUGGGUGACCUCCUGGGAAGUCCUCGUGAAAGGGUUUC
rfam:Triticum aestivum genome assembly, contig: Triticum_aestivum_CS42_TGACv1_scaffold_423377_5BS